GACAGAGGGUGCAAACGUUGUUCGGAAUUACUGGGCGUAAAGCGUACGCAGGCUGUUUCGUAAGUCGGGUGUGAAAGCCCGGGGCUCAACCCCGGAAUUGCGCCCGAGACUGCGGAGCUUGAAUGCGGGAGAGGGAAGCGGAAUUCCUGGUGUAGAGGUGAAAUUCGUAGAUAUCUGGAGGAACACCGGUGGCGAAGGCGGCAUCCUGGACCAUUACUGACACUGAAAAGCGAAAGCCAGGGGAGCAAACGGG
rnacentral:rRNA from 1 species